GACCCUGUAGCACAAUGGAUAGUGUGUUGGACUUCUAAUUCAAGGAUCAUGGAUUCGAAUCCCACCUGGGAUGGCCU
rnacentral:tRNA from 1 species